rnacentral:lncRNA from 1 species
AUGCCUGGAGACGGGAAUGUCUGGAAUCUUAGAGGAAGGAAUCACACACCGACAAGCAUGGCAGGCUUAGUCUUUGAAACUUAAUCAGAGCCUGAGAUACAUCCAGAAAACUGCAUUACAAUUUCAAAUCAAAGCUGGACAAGUUUUUUUUUUUUUUACACAGACAUCACCAUGUUAGAAAAGUUGGACAAGUUUUGAAACCAUUCUGAACCUAUCAUUCCUGUCUUUCAAAUCCUUCCAAGGCAUCUUAUUAUUGAUUUGUUUCUAUAUUUUCCUCAUUAUUAAAGAGGUUGAGUAUCUUUUCUCUA